rnacentral:misc_RNA from 1 species
ACAAAUCAUUCACAGAAUUUCAGAAAAGUAAAUGAAAGGAUGUUAGAGGAAUUAUAUUUGAAGACAUUUUCAUUUAAACAAAAAACUAUCUCGACUACCAAUCGUGAUAUGUCAAGUCGCAGACGAUAUAACAAAUAUGAUGCCUCUGAGUUCGGUUACCAAUGGCUAAAUCUGGACACUUUGAGCGAGAUAAUUCCACUGAGAGAACGAAUGCUGCGAAGGGAACAGGAAGGAGAAUUUAAAAAAGACGUUGAUCGCAGUGCCAAAGGCUUAACUAAGCAGAAAUGGAACAAAUUCAAACGAGAACUGCGCGAAAUUUCCUAUAAACUGGAACCUUGGAGAGCGUCUAUUAAAGCUGUGGAAGGUUACCAUGGCAGCGGUGUGGCAUCAUACUUCAUGUUCAUGAGAUGGAGCCUCUUUCUCAACAUUGGUAUCACUCUUUUGAUCAUUACAUUCGUCACAAUCCCACAGGUAGCUUUCCCAAAGAGAGACUAUUCGCCGGCCAUUUUCGGUAUUAACAAAACAUCGGUUCAGAUAGACGAAGCGGUAAAAUGUUCGAAGGAUUAUGUAUUAAAAAUCAAUAAAACUGACGUGAAAGCGCUGUUGCUUGAUUUUCUCCAAGGCUCAGGCUGGAUGGAGAAGACAGCAUUGUUCUAUGGAUAUUAUGACAAUAAAGAACUCUUCACUUACGGCAAAACUUACAUCAUACCUUUGGCAUAUCUCCUUGUUUCCAUUUCCUGUCUACUUUACAGUGUCAUUUUGAUGGCUAAAAAAUCAGCGGCCAGUUUUCGCGACAAUGUUGAGGACGACAGAGCAGGAGACAAUUUCCAGUUUUUCAGUCUGGUUUUCUUGAGUUGGGAUUACACCAUUACCGAUGCAGUUAGUGCUAAACUGAAGAAAGCGAGUAUCAUGAAGCAGAUACAGACGGAACUGGCAGAAAAACAAUACAAGCUUAAGAAAGAAAAUCUAACAAAAAACCAAAGGAUUCUGAUGUACACAAUACGUGUGACUAUCAAUAUAUUUGUGUUAACAUGCCUGACUGCCAGUGCUUAUCUUAUAUAUUAUGUGACGCAGUAUUCUACAAACUUUACAAAAAUGGAUACAUACAGUGGACAACACAAAAUUGUCAAGUUACUUGUGGAAUUUAUGCCAUCUCUGACAAUUUCAGCUUUAAAUGGUUUCGUACCAAUUAUAUUCUCUCUGGUUAUUAUUAUUGAGGAUUAUGCACCACAAAAUGAGGUUAUAAUAACGUUAGGCAGGACUAUUCUGUUACGACUUGCUUCGUUGAUAUUCCUCGUUGCAAGUCUUUACAAGGAUGUCAUGUGCAAGCCCAAAAAUGUUUGUGGGAUUGGAAUGGAAUCGUGUACAAAAAUUACGUGUUGGGAAUCCUAUAUUGGUCAACAGUUUUAUAAAUUAGUUAUUACAGACUUUGUGAUCAAACUUGUGUUAUGUCUCACUGUAGAACCGAUACGCAAGCUAAUGGCGAAAAAACUAAAAUUCAAAUUACUACCGCAGCCACAGUUUAAUGUGCCCCAGAACGUACUUGAUCUCGUUUACAUCCAAUCUUUAUGCUGGCUUGGUUUCUUCUUUGCUCCUUUAAUUACAUGUAUGGUACUGAUAUCAAUAUUUAUCACUUUCUAUUUGAAAAAGUUAUCAGCCCUACAUUGGUGUGCCGCCUCUGUGAAACCGUACAAAGCAUCCAAGUCACAGUCUCUAUUUGCUUCAGUACUUAUGGUGUCUUUCUUCCUAUGCUGCCUUCCAAUAGGUUAUGUCAUUUGCAAAGUUCCACCAUCCCGAAGUUGUGGUCCAUUCCGUAUUUAUAAGUACAUGUAUGAAAUUUUAACAGUUACCUUGGAGUUCUGGCCUAUUUCAGCAGCAAUAACAAUCAGUUUUCUUACAUCAGGAGCCUUUGUUCUCACAAUAAUCAUAGUAUUACUGUUGUUUCUCUAUUAUUUCUAUAAGAAAAUUGCUUCUCAAAGUGCAACUAUCAAAAUACUGUCUAACAAACUGAAUUCAGAGCGCAAGGAAAAAUAUUACUUCAUGGUGGAAGCAAGUAAAUCAUUGAAACAAGGUCAAGCAAACAGGGAAUACCCAACACAAGCUAGAGAACUUGAGGAAGCCACUGGCUCAACUGAAGUGCUUGACGAGAACAAAUCUUGAAUCAGAAAUUGCAACUAUUACUAAUGCUGAUAUUAUUAUUAUGAUUAUUAUUAUUAUUAUUAUUAUUAUUAUUAUUAUUAUUAUUAUUAAGGUGGCGAGAUA